UGCGCAGGCGGUUACUUAAGUCAGGUGUGAAAGCCCUGGGCUUAACCUAGGAACGGCGCUUGAGACUGGGUAGCUUGGAGUGUGGCAGAGGGAGGUGGAAUUCCACGUGUAGCAGUGAAAUGCGUAGAGAUGUGGAGGAACACCGAUGGCGAAGGCAGCCUCCUGGGCCAGCACUGACGCUCAUGCACGAAAGCGUGGGGAGCAAACAGGAUUAGAUACCCUGGUAGUCCACGCCCUAAACGAUGUCAACUGGUUGUUGGUGGGGUUAAACCCAUUAGUAACGAAGCUAACGCGUGAAGUUGACCGCCUGGGGAGUACGGCCGCAAGGUUAAA
rnacentral:rRNA from 1 species